rnacentral:lncRNA from 1 species
GAAAUCCCAAGCACUCACCGAGGACGCCGUAACGUCCAAAGGCUUUUUCCUCCGGUCCAUGCUCACGACGGAGGACCCGCCGCCACCUGUCUCCCCCGCAGACUUCCUAAACCCCCAUGUGGGGUACCAGGAAGUACCUUUGACUGCGACGCUGAGCUUCCGUGAGUUUACGACGCUGGCGCCAUCUUGGGAGUGUCGUGCGCGCGCAUAUUUGCCGCCAUCUUGAGAAGGUCAGGGGUUGGGGCGACGCCAAAGGAUGAGGUCAUUUUGAACAGGGCAGAGAGUAGCGUGAGCGCCAUCUUUAGAAGGUCGCACUGUGGCUUUCCUUGCCAUGGGCGCCGGCUGCAGUGGUGUGGAUGGAUGUAGUGGGUACAGUGAAGGAUGGAUGGCGGAGGAAGUGGCGCCAUCUUGGAGAGGGAAGGCUCCUGAGGACAGAUUGUGGCUGGACUCCGGCCACAGUUACCACGAUGUGUUCAUCAGGCUGAGGUGGUCCCAAUGCCUUGGAGCUUACCACAGCUCCUAAGAGGAAGUCAGCUGCAACCCCAGGAUCCCAUCACCAUCCAGACACCCUUCGAAACAAAAGAUGACUAAGACGGAAUCAGCCUCCCACUUGCUUACUCCAGAUGAGACCCUGCCUCAGGGUUCCUACCUGACCCAGGUGUGAGCUCAGUCUGUCUGAGGGUUUUGCUGAGGCAGCUGGGACAGAUGGUGCUGCUGUAGCCAUCUUGUGCUUAAGAGGAAAAGCCUGUCGAAGAAUGGAGCCCGCUUGAAGGCUAUGGAGAAGACAGGCACAGAGUGCGCUCCAGCACAG